GUUUUUUCGAAUUCUCAUAUUUUAGCAAAUGUCUACAGCAAACUACAAAGAAAUUAACAGUUAAACACAAAAUGUACUUUGAUUUUAAUCUUCGAUUGUUAAAUGGGUGCGACAACUGUUAAAUUGGAUUCCUGAUUGAAAACAAACUUAUUAUUGCAGUAGGCUGUGGAUGACCUAUUUAAACCAAUGAAUAUGGCAUUCUCAUUUGCAAAUUGUAAGUGUUGAGGUUCGCAAUAAAACUGGAUGCUGAAACUGAAAGUGUUCUUUAACUGUGGAAUGCUGAGGAUAUAUAUUUAUAGCUGCAAAUGUGUUACAUGCUACUGUCAACAUGAUAGAACAACACAUCAAGUAAAACAAUAUUUAAAACAUUUUACUACACAUUAAAAUAAAAAAUACUGCGCACUUGCCUACAGUAGUGAUCAUUAUUAUGGUAACUUUUUAAAAUUUUAAAUAUUAUGGUCAUAAUUAUUUUAUUAAAAAUAAACUAUUAAAAUAAUAUUGAUUUCUACUUUAUAAACUAAUAUUUUUUAUUCUCUA